UACAGAGGGUGCAAGCGUUGUUCGGAAUUAUUGGGCGUAAAGCGCGUGUAGGCGGCUUUGCAAGUCGGGUGUGAAAGCCCUCAGCUUAACUGAGGAAGUGCGCCCGAAACUGCAUGGCUUGAGUACCGGAGAGGAUGGUGGAAUUCCCGAAGUAGAGGUGAAAUUCGUAGAUAUCGGGAGGAACACCGGUGGCGAAGGCGACCAUCUGGACGGAUACUGACGCUGAGACGCGAAAGCGUGGGUAGCAAACAGG
rnacentral:rRNA from 1 species